rnacentral:rRNA from 1 species
AAUCAACGCUGGCGGCGUGCCUCAGACAUGCAAGUCGAACGAUUAAACUUUCCUUCGGGAAAGAUAUAAAGUGGCGCACGGGUGAGUAACACGUAGGUAAUGUACCUUUGGGUGGGGAAUAACCAUCGGAAACGAUGGCUAAUACCGCAUAAUGCAGCGGCAUCGCAAGAUGACAGUUGUUAAAGAUUUAUCGGCCUAAAGAGCAGCCUGCGGCAGAUUAGGUAGNGGUUAAGGUAAUGGCUUACCAAGCCUGCGAUCUGUAACCGACCUGAGGAGGGUGGUCGGUCACACUGACACUGAAUAACGGGUCAGACUCCUACGGGNGGCAGCAGUCGGGGAAUUUUGGGCAAUGGGCGAAAGCCUGACCCAGCAACGCCGCGUGAAGGACGAAGUC